AGAGGUGGCAAGCGUUGUUCGGAUUUACUGGGCGUAAAGGGUGCGUAGGUGGCACCGUAUGUCGGGUGUGAAAUCCCACGGCUCAACCGUGGAACUGCAUUCGAAACUGCGGAGCUAGAGUGCAGGAGGGGAGAGCGGAAUUCUUGGUGUAGCGGUGAAAUGCGUUGAUAUCAAGAAGAACACCGGUGGCGAAGGCGGCUCUCUGGAAUGCAACUGACACUGAUGCACGAAAGCUGGGGGGGGAGCGAACAGGAUUAGAUACCCUGGUAGUCCCAGCCGUAAACGGUGUGCACUUGGUGUGGGGAGAAUUGACCCUCCCGUGUCGGAGCUAACGCGUUAAGUGCACCGCCUGGGAGUACGGCCGCAAGGCUA
rnacentral:rRNA from 1 species